rnacentral:rRNA from 1 species
GGAUUAGAUACCCUGGUAGUCCACGCCGUAAACGAUGAGAACUAGACGUUGGGGACUUCGGUCUUUAGUGUCGCAGCUAACGCGAUAAGUUCUCCGCCUGGGGAGUACGGCCGCAAGGCUAAAACUCAAAGGAAUUGACGGGGGCCCGCACAAGCGGUGGAGCAUGUGGUUUAAUUCGAUGCAACGCGAAGAACCUUACCUACUCUUGACAUCCUUGGAAUCCUCUGGAGACAGAGGAGUGCCUUCGGGAACCAAGUGACAGGUGUUGCAUGGCUGUCGUCAGCUCGUGCCG